AAACGCUGGCGGCGUGUCUUAAGCAUGCAAGUCGAGCGGCAGGCGCAGCAAUGCGCUGAGAGCGGCGGACUGGUGAGUAACGCGUGGGUAAUCUACCUUUGGCAUGGGGAUAGCCACUAGAAAUAGUGGGUAAUACCGAAUACGUUCCCUGGGGGGAGGUUUCAGGGAAGAAAGGGUGCUACGGCACCGGCCAAAGAUGAGCUCGCGUCCCAUUAGCUAGUUGGUGAGGUAAUGGCCCACCAAGGCGAUGAUGGGUAGCCGGCCUGAGAGGGUGUACGGCCACNCUGGGACUGANAUACGGCCCANACUCCUACGGGAGGCAGCAGCUAAGAAUAUUCCGCAAUGGACGAAAGUCUGACGGANCGACGCCNCGUGGAUGAUGAAGGCCGAAAGGUUGUAAAG
rnacentral:rRNA from 1 species